GGCGCUAUAGCUAAGUGGUUACAGCGACAGAUUAGAAAUCUGUGUGCGCCAGGUUCAAAUCCUGCUGGUGUCG
rnacentral:tRNA from 1 species